GAUGAACGCUGGCGGCGUGCCUAAUACAUGCAAGUCGAGCGAACAGACGAGGAGCUUGCUCCUCUGACGUUAGCGGCGGACGGGUGAGUAACACGUGGAUAACCUACCUAUAAGACUGGGAUAACUUCGGGAAACCGGAGCUAAUACCGGAUAAUAUAUUGAACCGCAUGGUUCAAUAGUGAAAGACGGUUUUGCUGUCACUUAUAGAUGGAUCCGCGCCGCAUUAGCUAGUUGGUAAGGUAACGGCUUACCAAGGCAACGAUGCGUAGCCGACCUGAGAGGGUGAUCGGCCACACUGGAACUGAGACACGGGCCAGACGCCUACGGGAGGCAGCAGUAGGGAAUCUUCCGCAAUGGGCGAAAGCCUGACGGAGCAACGCCGCGUGAGUGAUGAAGGUCUUCGGAUCGUAAAACUCUGUUAUUAGGGAAGAACAAAUGUGUAAGUAACUAUGCACGUCUUGACGGUACCUAAUCAGAAAGCCACGGCUAACUACGUG
rnacentral:rRNA from 1 species